rnacentral:rRNA from 1 species
AUUGAACGCUGGCGGAAUGCUUUACACAUGCAAGUCGAACGGCAGCACGGACUUCGGUCUGGUGGCGAGUGGCGAACGGGUGAGUAAUACAUCGGAACGUGCCCAGUCGUGGGGGAUAACGUAGCGAAAGCUACGCUAAUACCGCAUACGAUCUAAGGAUGAAAGCGGGGGACCGUAAGGCCUCGCGCGAUUGGAGCGGCCGAUGGCAGAUUAGGUAGUUGGUGGGGUAAAGGCUCACCAAGCCGACGAUCUGUAGCUGGUCUGAGAGGACGACCAGCCACACUGGGACUGAGACACGGCCCAGACUCCUACGGGAGGCAGCAGUGGGGAAUUUUGGACAAUGGGCGCAAGCCUGAUCCAGCCAUUCCGCGUGCAGGAUGAAGGCCCUCGGGUUGUAAACUGCUUUUGUACGGAACGAAAAGGCUCUGGUUAAUACCUGGGGCUCAUGACGGUACCGUAAGAAUAAGCACCGGCUAACUACGUG